AGAGAAUCUGAACAAGCGGGUCUA
rnacentral:piRNA from 1 species